AACUGUGGUACCUCAACU
rnacentral:rRNA from 1 species